UCACAGCAAAUCGCAAAGUGUUAAAAUCCCAGAGUAUUCAUGACCAGAGUAGAUUUUAUACACUUUGGUGUUGAAUAGGCACUAAGUACAUUUUUUGGGGUGUACCAGAAACACUCUUGGGUGUUGUCUCUAAGUAUAAUGCUGGUGUAGAGUAAUUUAAGUGUUUAUUUUAGGAUGAUGGACUCCCUGAGUGUACAACGGUUGAGUUUCGAUUCGUCAUUGGCUCGCUGCGCCUUCUCAUUGGUUGAAUCUAGAGACAUGUGACCGUUUGUCCUCUUCCACACUACGCAGCAAACUGUUUCGGCAGAGACGGUUGACUAGAGAGGAUCGAAUCAAUAUCGCCAAGGAAUUGCUCCGAGUGAGCGAAGACAUUUUUGAACUUCAUGGGAAUGUAAACAGGUUGGGAUAGUGACAUGGCCUCACUUCUCCUGCUGGUCUACCUCCUGCCACCACCUCCAAGUGGAAAGAAGGGAGCUGUCAAAAUCAGUAUCCGGGAAGCUGUGGAUCGUGUAGUGAAGUUUCACAGGGUAAUUGUAUCCUGAUAAUUGUUAUUUUAUUUUUAAAGGUCCCAUGGCAUGCCGCCAGAGCUUGUGUGUUGCUGAUGGAUGUCACAAUCUCUGUGUUGGCCAAUCUACUUAUCGAGUCUUGAAAACAACAUGGCGUCGACGGGUGAUCUACUGAUGGCAUUGUGUGUAUAAAAUGUACUUUUUAAUAAACAAUCUGUACACUUACAAAGUUCUCAAUGCCUCGUUUUAUAUAAAGCGUCUAUGCGUUUUUUUGUGCUCCAAAACGAACGUUUCAACUCAUUAUCAUACAAAACAUAUCCCAAAUCCGUUUUACACCGGAAUUCCCCUUUAAUUGGUUGACGGGGACACAUUUAUUUAUUUAUUUUCAAGUUGUUUGUUACAUCAUAUAAAUGUAAAACUAAAUAUGGUUCUUGAUGUAAAAUAAUUAAAGUUUAACUAUAAUGUUAACUAUAUUAUAUAUGUAUGCACUGUAACAACAACAGCAGCAAGAAUCUAAUGUGUAGACUAUUCAUUCAUGAAGUGUUGAUAAUUCACCUCAAAGGUGUUGGUUGUACACCAGUCAGAGUACAUUCUCACUCUAGAAGUAUUAAAUAAUCAGAUCUGCGAAGUGCUACAAAGCACUGACUUGGAGUACAUAUUUUCUCUCUCUGGGGUUCUAGGUUUACACUGCAGGUGUAAGGAAGCACUGAAUGAGUGCCCAAAAGUACCACUAAUAGAGUACAUUUGCACUCUCAAAGUGUUCAAAUGUAACUCUAAAUUUGGAGUACAUAUUUUGCUCUUCUAACAGUGUUCAGCGAACACUGAACUCUUGGACCUAUAUAUACCCCGAAGUGAGUGUUAAAUGUACACCCAUAGAGUACAAUGUACACUGUGGUUUUUGCU